rnacentral:rRNA from 1 species
GAUGAACGCUAGCGGCAGGCUUAAUACAUGCAAGUCGAGGGGGCAGCAAUGUCACCGGCGAACGGGUGCGUAACGCGUAUGCAACCUACCUACAUCAGGGGGAUAGCCCUAGGAAACUGGGAUUAACACCGCAUAAUAUAUGACAAGGCAUCUUGUUAUAUUGAAAUAUUUAUAGGAUGUAGAUGGGCAUGCGUAGGAUUAGCUAGUUGGUAAGGUAACGGCUUACCAAGGCGACGAUCCUUAGGGGCUCUGAGAGGAGUAUCCCCCACACUGGCACUGAGAUACGGGCCAGACUCCUACGGGAGGCAGCAGUAGGGAAUAUUGGGCAAUGGAGGCAACUCUGACCCAGCCAUGCCGCGUGCAGGAAGACGGUCCUCUGGAUUGUAAACUGCUUUUGAAUGGGAAGAAUGUGUUGCUUGCGAGCAAUAAUGACGGUACCAUUAGAAUAAGCCACGGCUAACUACGUGCCAGCAGCCG